AGUCUUGUAGUGAAAUUCACACUAAAUUGCAAAUUUAGAAAAGCAGGGUAAGGCCUGCCGGGACUU
rnacentral:tRNA from 1 species